rfam:Trichomonas vaginalis G3, whole genome shotgun sequence.
AGGCUAUUUAUAGUACCCGUCUUGAAACACGGAUUAGGGGAGUUUAUCUGUAGUGCGAGUCUUUGCACGUUAACUGUAAAGGCGUAGAGAAAGCAACUGGCGUUUGCAUGGCUACUGAGCAUUACUGAUAGGACCCGAAAGGUGGUGAACUUUGCCUGCACAGGUUGAAGUCAGGGGAAACUCUGAUGGAGGACCGUACGGGUUAUUGAUGUGCAAAUCAUUUUUCUGAUGUAGGUAAAGGUGCGAAAGACUCAUCGAACCACCUAAUAGCUGGUUUCCUCCGAAGUUUCCCUCAGGAUAGCUGUAAUGCAUUUAGUUAAGGGGAGUAGAGAUAUGGGUAGAGGUGCAGGGAGCCUUCGGGUUCUCAACUUAUUUCCAAACUUCGAACCUCCUUGUUAGGCAUUUACCUAACUGGAAAUGCUUAAAUGAAUUAGCGUUACAAGUGGGCUCUGACCGGUAAGCGGUCAUGGCGAAAUGGGAUGAACCAUACGUCUGAAUAAGGUGCCGAAAUGUACUAUCACUGAUACCAUAAAGGGAGUCCAUGUAUUUAGACAGCAGGUCGGUGCCCCUAAAAGCAGGUAUCCGCUAAAGAGUGUGUUAAAACUCACCUGCCGAAUACUAGGGCCCCGAAAAUGAAUGGCGCAUAUAGUACUACCGAUCUCAGACAUCAGUUCUAUUGAACUGAGAGUAGGGGGAUGUGGACAUUUUUGUGAAGGUGCAAUGUGAGUUGGACUGGAAGAAUGUCUAUUACAGAUCCUAAUUGAAGUAGCGAUUAUCCAGGCUUGUAUCCUGGGGGCUGAUGAGGAGUAGGGUUUCUGGACAACUUAAACAGAUCCAGAGUUAGUCGAUCCUAAUCUCAAUAAUGGGAGAAAGGGAGUACAGUUGAUAUUCUGUAACUGACAACAGUUCGCGGCAACGCAUACUAUUUUUCUCCGCCAAUCUUAUACCGUUGGUAGGGAUCUCUUUCCUACAUGACAGUACUAAUACCCAGGGAAACUGGUCAUCAGGCGAACUGCGGCGUUCUGCUGGCAAAACAUAGCUUCGGUU